CCUGCGGAGCGUCACACCAACCGGAAGUAGCUAAAAGCGAAAACGGGACGCGAAGAAACAGGUA
rnacentral:sRNA from 12 species